rnacentral:misc_RNA from 1 species
AUUACUUUGUAUUUCUCUUGCAACAAACUUUUACUAUUUUGCAUUUUUUGCUGGUUUUAAUGUCAAAUUGCAUAAUGCUAAUAAAGCAUUUGGAAUUUGACAAAAUGUUGUAUUUGGCUUGGCCUGUGUGCGUGACUAAGAGGUAUACAUGGUUAGUCAGGCCAUCUUUUUUUUUUGCCUUGGUCUUGAUGGAUAUUUCCAUCUGUUUGUGUCAGAAGUUUCCCAGCAUAUUGACUAAGAGGUAUACAUGGUUAGUCAGGCCAUCUUUUUUUUUUGCCUUGGUCUUGAUGGAUAUUUCCAUCUGUUUGUGUCAGAAGUUUCCCAGCAUAU